AUUGAACGCUGGCGGCAGGCCUAACACAUCCAAGUCGAGAGGAGCGGCGGCCGGGGGAGUAAGGCCUAGGAUUUUGCCUGGUGGUGGGGGAUAACUUCCGGAAACGGGCGCUAAUCCCGCAUCCUAUCAGAUGGGCCAAGGCCGGAUUAGCUAGGUGGUGGGGUAAAGGCCUACCAAGGCGACGAUCCGUAACUGGGCUGAGAGGAUGAUCAGUCACACUGGAACUGAGACACGGUCCAGACUCCUACGGGAGGCAGCAGUGGGGAAUAUUGGACAAUGGGCGAAAGCCUGAUCCAGCCAUGCCGCGUGUGUGAAGAAGGUCUUCGGAUUGUAAAGCACUUUAAGUUGGGAGGCGUUACCAACAGAAUAAGCACCGGCUAACUUCGUGCCAGCAGCCGCGGUAAUUC
rnacentral:rRNA from 1 species